AUACGUAGGUGACAAGCGUUAUCCGGAUUUACUGGGCGUAAAGGGCGUGUAGGCGGUCUUACAAGUCAGAAGUGAAAUUCCUGAGCUCAACUCGGGCGCUGCUUCUGAAACUGCAGGACUUGAGUGCUGGAGGGGAUAGCGGAAUUCCUAGUGGAGCGGUAAAAUGCGCAGAUAUUAGGAAGAACACCGGUGGCGAAGGCGGAUAUCUGGACAGUAACUGACGCUGAGGCGCGAAAGCGUGGGGAGCAAACAGGAUUAGAUACCCGGGUAGCCCACGCCGUAAACGAUGAAUACUAGGUGUAGGGGGUAUCGCCCCCUUCUGUGCCGCAGGCAACACAAUAAGCAUUCCGCCUGGGGAGUACGGCCGCAAGGUUGAAACUCAAAUGAAUUGACGGGG
rnacentral:rRNA from 1 species